GGGGAAUCUUGCGCAAUGGGCGAAAGCCUGACGCAGCAACGCCGCGUGCGGGAAGAAGGCUCUCGGGUUGUAAACCGCUUUCAGAAGGAACGAAACUGACGGUACUUUCAGAAGAAGGUGCGGCCAACUACGUGCCAGCAGCCGCGGUGACACGUAGGCACCAAGCGUUGUCCGGAUUUAUUGGGCGUAAAGAGCUCGUAGGCGGUUCAGUAAGUCGGGUGUGAAAACUUUGGGCUUAACCCAAAGCCUGCAUCCGAUACUGCUGUGACUUGAGUACGGUAGGGGAGCGGGGAAUUUCUAGUGUAGCGGUGAAAUGCGCAGAUAUUAGAAGGAACACCGGUGGCGAAGGCGCCGCUCUGGGCCGUAACUGACGCUGAGGAGCGAAAGCGUGGGUAGCAAAC
rnacentral:rRNA from 1 species